rnacentral:lncRNA from 1 species
ACCUGAUAGCAACACACAUGUUGUUGAUGGGCGGACUUUCUCUAUCAGGGAGGCUCAGCUGGAGCAACAGAGCAGCAUUUCUGGAGGAGGGCAUAUCAGUUUUGACACCUGUUUUCAGAAUCAUCCACAGAAGCACAAAGAUCAAAUGCAGAAGGAACUGCACGUGGAAAGGCCAGCCACAUACAUCACAAAAAGAGGACUGAAGUCAGCACACAGCUUGAAAGCCGGACUACAGGCCUUUCUUCAAGAAUGGCUGGAGUGACCCUGGGGACUUGCUGCAAGAAGCAAGAGGAUUGGGCAAAGGUCAAGAGGCCAUUUGUCAAACAGCACAAGACAUGUAACAGGAUAUGCACAGUGAGACAUGGCGGGGGAGAGCCCCCACGGAGCCCAGGGGAUGUAUGACAUCAUAGUCACAGUCCUACAUCUUCCUCUGUUUCCCCAGCUACCCUGGCUAUCUCUGCAGACAGGAAGAGAGCUGCCAAGUAGGGCUGGAAAGAGACACUCGGCAGGUAGAUCUUGCCGUAACAAGGAGAAGAAACUCAUGGAUUUCACCUAAGACCAGAGAAGGGAACAUUCCCAAGAGACUUGGAGGUUCCAUCUCUCAAGCAACCUGAAAUUAGCAGGGAUUUCUCCUGCGGCUUUGCCAUGAUGUGGGGAAAAGGGAAGUGGUUUUGACGCAAGGGACAGAGGGAGUGUUGGCGGUGGCAGGGGGAGCAGGGGCAGCAGCUCACUUACGGGUUAAAACCACCCUGGAGAGGCCCAGCUCUCUGAAGUUCGACAUCAGAAUAUACAUUCGAGUAAGGGUGGUCAGUUAUUCAAUUUUUUGAGACUCACUUUCCUUGUCUUUAUACAUGAGGUUUAACAAAAUUGUCAAGAAGGUGACAGAAAACAGCAGAGGAAAAAGCUGCAGUAUAGUGGAUACUCCAUAAAUAUUGGUUCCCUUGGCUAUAUUCGUCCCCUCUUUUUCCCAAGUGUAGAGCAACAUGGAUUAAAAUUUAUUUUGUAUUUCUAGAUCUCCAGCAAAUGUAUUUAGAACUGUUCUAUUAAAUUUUCCUGGAAAAUAAAGCAUCCCUUGCAUUGAGGCUAUCUAGGUAAUCUAUUUAACAGCAUCUAAGUCUAGAAAUUCAGAAACGUCUAUAUGUGCGCCUCUCUCUGUAAUGUCCUGAUUCUUUUUUUUUUUCUCAUCCACUUGCCCAUCAGUGGUUCAGAUAUUCUCUCUAUAUUUGUGUUUGCAAAGUUCUAUUCCUGAAUGGAAUUUUCUCCCAGGAAUUCCCGACCGAGGCCAUCUGCUCUGCAGGCAGAAAGUGAAGCGACCGCAGCCUGAUGCAGCCAGGAAGGCAGAGGCUGAGAGGAGGGAGUGUGGCAUCAGAACAGAGUCCGCCGGGGCUCUGGCUUCCUCCUCCGGGAUCAAGGGAAAUGUGCGAAGCACAGUGCAGAAUCCCGGGCGGCUCAUGCCCACUCACUUGCUGGGGGAACAGAUAAAACACGAGUGAGGGGGAGAUUUUGUGGGCUGACACUCCCCAGAAAUGCUGUGUGCACAUGGGCGUGGUGAUUGAUACUUAGCGCUUUGAAGCAAACACCGUGAGACUACUCAGCAUUGGGAGAAGCUGUCCACGCGGACGCCCAGGAAGCAGCCCGGAGGAUAGGGUGCCCCAGCAGUACUGCAGAAUCCCAACUACUGACGAGAAUGAGUAAAAGAAUGCACAGAUUGGACAUGUAAAUAAACAGGUUAAAUACCCUGGCAGCUCUUGAAAACAAACCCCUUUUUCUGAAUCUGCUCAGAAACCUCCGUUCUCAUGGUCACUCGGCAACAUGCUGCGGAGAAGAAGACUCGGCCUCGGAACAGCCAUGCCCGGGUUCGAUCCCAGUCCUAGCUUGUGGCAGCCGGGUGACUGGGCAUGAUUCCUGGGCUUCAGUCCUAAUCUGUAAAACGUAGGGGCUGAAGGAGGAAGCGGGAUGGAGUGGAGACCAUUAGAAUUAAUG